rnacentral:rRNA from 1 species
GACGAACGCUGGCGGCGUGCUUAACACAUGCAAGUCGAACGGAAAGGCCUUGCUUUUGUGGGGUGCUCGAGUGGCGAACGGGUGAGUAACACGUGAGUAACCUGCCCUGGACUUUGGGAUAACUGCAGGAAACUGGGGCUAAUACCGGAUAGGAGCUCCUGCUGCAUGGUGGGGUUUGGAAAGUUUCGGCGGUUGGGGAUGGACUCGCGGCUUAUCAGCUUGUUGGUGGGGUAGUGGCUUACCAAGGCUUUGACGGGUAGCCGGCCUGAGAGGGUGAACGGCCACAUUGGGACUGAGAUACGGCCCAGACUCCUACGGGAGGCAGCAGUGGGGAAUAUUGCACAAUGGGCGGAAGCCUGAUGCAGCAAUGCCGCGUGCGGGAUGACGGCCUUCGGGUUGUAAACCGCUUUAGCCUGUGACGAAGCGUGAGUGACGGUAAUGGGUAAAGAAGCACCGGCUAACUACGUG